rnacentral:rRNA from 1 species
GACGAACGCUGGCGGCGCGCUUAACACAUGCAAGUCGAGCGAUGAAACUUUAACAGAACCCUUCGGGGCGAAGAUAAAGUGGAUUAGCGGCGGACGGGUGAGUAACACGUGAGUAACCUGCCUUAGACAUUGGGAUAGCCUCGGGAAACCGGGAUUAAUACCAAAUAAAAUCAUAAUGACACAUGUCAUAACGAUCAAAACUCCGGUGGUCUAAGAUGGACACGCGUCCCAUUAGCUAGUUGGUAGAGUAAAAGCCUACCAAGGCGACGAUGGGUAGCCGGCCUGAGAGGGUGAACGGCCACAUUGGAACUGAGAAACGGUCCAAACUCCUACGGGAGGCAGCAGUGGGGAAUAUUGCACAAUGGAGGGAACUCUGAUGCAGCGACGCCGCGUGAACGAAGAAGGCUUUCGAGUCGUAAAGUUCUUUUAUAUGGGAAGAUAAUGACGGUACCAUAAGAAAAAGCCCCGGCUAACUACGUG